rnacentral:rRNA from 1 species
CUUUUAUGGAGAGUUUGAUCCUGGCUCAGGACGAACGCUGGCGGCGUGCCUAAUACAUGCAAGUCGAGCGGAUCUUACCCUUCGGGGUAAGGUU